GGGUCUCGACGCUCUUUUAUUUUUAGAGACCUUUUUCGAAGGUAUACUUAAAGAGGGGCUUGCGGCACAUUAGUUAGUUGGUAGGGUAAAAGCCUACCAAGACUAUGAUGUGUAGCUGGACUGAGAGGUUGAACAGCCACAUUGGGACUGAGACACGGCCCAAACUCCUACGGGAGGCAGCAGUAGGGAAUUUUCGGCAAUGGAGGAAACUCUGACCGAGCAACGCCGCGUGAACGAUGAAGUAUUUCGGUAUGUAAAGUUCUUUUAUUGAAGAAGAAAAAAUAGUGGAAAAACUAUCUUGACGAUAUUCAAUGAAUAAGCCCCGGCAAACUAUGUGCCAGCAGCCGCGGUAAUACAUAGGGGGCGAGCGUUAUCCGGAAUUAUUGGGCGUAAAGGGUGCGUAGGCGGUUUGGUAAGUCUAUAGUUUAAUUUCAGUGCUUAACACUGUUCUGCUAUAGAAACUAUCAGACUAGAGUGAGAUAGAGGCAAGUGGAAUUCCAUGUGUAGCGGUAAAAUGCGUAAAUAUAUGGAGGAACACCAGAGGCGUAGGCGGCUUGCUGGGUCUUUACUGACGCUGAGGCACGAAAGCGUGGGGAGCAAACAGGAUUAGAUACCCUGGUAGUCCACGCCGUAAACGAUGAGUACUAAGUGUCGGGGAAACUCGGUACUGAAGUUAACACAUUAAGUACUCCGCCUGAGUAGUACGUACGCAAGUAUGAAACUUAAAGGAAUUGACGGGACUCCGCACAAGCGGUGGAUCAUGUUGUUUAAUUCGAAGAUACACGAAAAACCUUACCAGGUCUUGACAUACUCUGCAAAGCUAUAGCAAUAUAGUGGAGGUUACCAGGGAUACAGGUGGUGCAUGGUUGUCGUCAGCUCGUGUCGUGAGAUGUUAGGUUAAGUCCUAAAACGAGCGCAACCCUUGUCACUAGUUGCCAGCAUGUUAUGAUGGGCACUUUAGUGAGACUGCCAAUGAAAAAUUGGAGGAAGGUGAGGAUCACGUCAAAUCAUCAUGCCCCUUAUGAUCUGGGCUACAAACGUGAUACAAUGGCUGUUACAAAGAGUAGCUAAAACGCGAGUUUAUAGCCAAUCUCAUAAAAGCAGUCUCAGUUCGGAUUGAAGUCUGCGAGCUCGACUUCAUGAAGUUGGAAUCGCUAGUAAUCGCGAAUCAGCAUGUCGCGGUAG
rnacentral:rRNA from 1 species